rnacentral:rRNA from 1 species
GAUCCUGGCUCAGAACGAACGCUGGCGGCAGGCCUAACACAUGCAAGUCGAACGAGCUGAGACCUUCGGGUCUCGAUGCUAGUGGCGCACGGGUGAGUAACGCGUGGGAAUAUGCCCUUUAGUACGGAAUAACGCAGGGAAACUUGCGCUAAUACCGUAUACGCCCUUCGGGGGAAAGAUUUAUCGCUAAAGGAUUAGCCCGCGUCUGAUUAGGUAGUUGGUGAGGUAAUGGCUCACCAAGCCGACGAUCAGUAGCUGGUCUGAGAGGAUGAUCAGCCACACUGGGACUGAGACACGGCCCAGGCUCCUACGGGAGGCAGCAGUGGGGAAUAUUGGACAAUGGGGGCAACCCUGAUCCAGCCAUGCCGCGUGAGUGAAGAAGGCCUUCGGGUUGUAAAGCUCUUUCGGCGGGGACGAUGAUGACGGUACCCGCAGAAGAAGCCCCGGCUAACUUCGUGC